rnacentral:misc_RNA from 1 species
AACGCACGAGACCUGCGGACCUGCGGAGGGAUCAUUACCGAGUUCGUGCCCCGCAGCGGGGUAGAUCUCCCACCCUUGUGUAUCUUCGUACCGUUCUGUUGCUUUGGCAGGCCGCUCAGGCUUCGGCUCGACCACCGGCUCCCCCAGGGGGGCGGGUGUGCGCCUGCCAGAGGACCCCCCAACUCUUGUUUGUCAGUGUCGUCUGAGUACUAUAACCAAUCGUUAAAACUUUCAGCAAUG